UAAAAAUUAUUAUAAGCAAUUAGUAAUAUGAAAAAGCAUCUAGAGCAUGUAUCAUAAAAUCGUUCGGAAUGGGUUCUAAUCAGAAUAAUUCCGUUGUUUCUAGGAAACAAUAGAAAUCUAGGAAAUAAUUAAAUAAUUCCACACACACGCGCGCGCGCGCGCGCGCACGCACGCACACACAAUCAGAAUUAUUCCGAUUUAGUCUAUAACAAGUACCCUAUCCCUAACAGAUGUCUCUGUCUGAUAGUAAAAGUCAGUUGACUUAUAGAAGGAAUAAAAAUAUUCUACUUUUGCCAAUAAAAAAAAUAUGCAUCGAAUAUUUUUAUCUCCUCUACAAACCCACGAAAUUAAAAUCGGAGAGAAAACCUGGGAGCAUAUCCUU